AAUUUCAUUCUUUGUCCCAGUGUUAUGAUGUACUCCUGUUGAAGAAUAACAUCCAUUAAGAUGUGAGCUACCCAACUUAAGUAUGCAAGUCCGAGUCAACAGGCAGGAGAGAAACAUGCUGAGAUUUGGAUUUUUGAGGAGAUGGAAUUAUUUCUCACUUGUGCUGCAAAUACAAGAUCAGAGGGGUUACCAAGACUUGAAAAGCUUGGAGAAACAUUCUCCAAAGACUUUGGGACCGACUGGUGGUCAUCUCAUGACAUUCUGGAAGGAUCUCAAGGCAUGAAGGGAUUCUGGUGAGGCUUGGAGGAAGGAUGCAGUCAGACUGGAAAGGCUUGACUGGCGGCAAGCUGUCCACUGGCCCAAGCUGUGAGUAAAGAAAAAAUAAAAGCUGUUCUCUGAGACUGUCCUUCUUCAAAUAAGUGUCAUAGCCUUUCACUGUAAUGUUCCAUAAUUACUGUAUGAUGUUUGUUUAAAGCAGGAUCAACUACUUGUUCAUUUUGAAGGGACAGCCAUAUCUCUGGAGAUCAGUCUCUGUGUUAUGAUACCUGACAUAACAUUUGACCUAGUCUAUAAUGGGCAGAGGUAGCAUGAUUGGGUUCCUGUGCUCAACUGGGUUCCUGGGCUUCCUUUGUUUUCAGAAGCUUUUCUACAUAAGGGAAAUGGGGUGUUUGCCACAGGCACCCACCUAUAUGAGUUUCCAAGUUACUUAAACUUCCUACAGUUUUGCUAGUCUGUGAACCCACAGGCAAUCUUCUUGCAGGUCUCCUUCAGAACCUGUGAUGGAAAAGUCCAGUACUGGUCAGCCCCUAGGACUGUCAAGUGAAGAAUGGAUCUGGAAGCAACUGGCCUGACCAACUAGACAAGAAUGCCAAGACUAGAAAGGCUUGGAGCACCUUACUGCCAAUACUGUUGGACUGACUGGUGGUCAUCUCAUGACAUUCAGGAUGGAUCCCCUGGCACAGUGUGAUUCUGCUCAGGCUUGGAGGAAGGGUGGACUCAGACUGCAAAGGUUGUAACUACCUUGGAAGCCCCUAGGGCACAAUUCUCCUCCAGACAGAGGCAAAUGCAGGCUAGUCUGUGUUUUGCUUCUAGCGCUGGUGUCCUCUCAGCCUUCUUCCUGCCUCCCCAUUCUUCUCCCUGUCUUUAUAUCCCUCCAGCGAUCUAUCUUUCCAUCUCUCUGUAUCCCAGGGACACAGGCUAGGGAUACAGGCUUCGGUUUCCUCCUAGUCUCCAGCCGUAGUGGCACCGACCUGAAGGUCUGUUUCCUGCUAUGUGUGGUCUGAGUUUCUCUUCUGAUUGGGACAAGUGAUGUGGGUCUAUUGGGGCAGCCAUUACUCUUCCAGAUAUAGAUGUAUUCUCAGUGACUGAACCACGUGCCAGAAGACAACCCACAGCAAUUUGUGUACCCUGGUCCAGCCCUAUGUUGUGGCAGCAUGGAGCCCAUCUCAUGAGGGGAAGGGUGAGGGAGGCAACGCUAACACUCGCAAUCCACAGUUACACUAAACUUCACAGGUUAAGGUCACACUGCUAAGCCGGAAUGCCAUCACUACAGAAACCAGACACAAGUCUGGGUUUACCAACGACACCCUCACCCUGACCAACUGAUAGAUGGGCCACGUUCUUGAUCAGGCAAUCCACAGAGAAUCGUUCCAUAAAUGCAGUGAAUAUCCGGUAUAAUUUUCAUUCAAAUGCUUUUCAGUCUGUCCCCAGGUAUUGUUCAAAACAGUCAAACCAAAGAAUUUAAGACGCACCUUUUCCCUAUAAGAUGUACGAUGAUGGUUAGAAAAUAACAUUCAGAAUGCAGUGAAACAGGCGCUUUCAUUUUGUUCAUGGGUAGAAUGAGUUUGGGAGACAUCUUUGCAGGAGGUUUCAACACAUAAAGUUGAUAAUGUGAGUGACGUUUUGUCAAUGUGUGUGUGCAUUUGUGUGUGUAUGUCUGUGCAUGCAGAAGCCCUGAUGCAGACUCCUUCAGUGUGGACACUCACCACCUUGGCAGAAGGAGGAGCAUCCAAAAUUUGGGCAGGGAGGCAAGUUGGGUCACAGGCCCACACCUGGCCCCAGGAAGAGAUGCCAGGAGGUGGGGCUGUGCCAGGCCCACAAAAGGAAGUACCAGAUGCAUGGUCUAGGCAGGCAGAUCCCCUAGGACAUCUGGAGGCCAGCCCUCAGCCAGGUGGUGAACGCUUAGGCUAGAGCCUGGCUUAGAGAAGUAGGGCAGAAGCCUGGCUCGGGGGCUCUUGGAGGGCUCCACUAGGGGUUUCCAAUAGCUUGGGGCCCCCGUGCAUGGCUGCUGGAACUCAAAAUGCAUCUGACACUUGGAUUCAAGCACUGCUGCAGGCGGCCAGGGAGGUGGUCAUUUGGCUCUUCAAGAUGAUCCCGAUAGGCUUGACCUGUUUAUCAUGUGGUUCAUGGUUGCUUAUACUGCUUCUCCAGUGAUACCAUGGACCUUGCCUUCCACGCUCGCUUCCACAGCCAGGCCCUGUUCCACAUGGCAGCAGACAUGGUGUGCUCGUCCAUGUGUAAGUCUGACGGGAUGUUGGAGGGAGGUGGCCAUGGAUACUCAAUCUCCCUUUUCUGGAUGUUGGAGGGAGGUGGCCAUGGAUACUCAAUCUCCCUUUUCUGGAUGUUGGAGGGAGGUGGCCAUGGAUACUCAAUCUCCCUUUUCUGCUGACCUCUUUUGAUCUGUUCUGCACAUUGAUACGCAAAUGGUAGAUUUGAAAAGCAAAUUGGAUCUCCAUGGAGUUUACCACAUCCAACACAUGGUUCUUUGCCUUGGACCACUUAUCUUUUUGCCCUUCAUCUUUUGCAGGUUAUAUCAUUGACUGUCUUCUCCCAUGAGGACCAAAUAUGUGUUCUUCCCUGAGAAGACCAUGUUCUUUCACAUUCCUGUUCCUGUGCACUUGUUCCAACUUAAUCCUUUAAACCACUUCCUCUCUCUCCCAUAUUCUAUGUCCACUCUCAUUAAACACACAUUUCAGCUUG